AGCUCUUGCUCUUGCUCCUUCGCCUGCUUGCUGCGUGAGACUGAGUAACUGCUAGAUCCUUGGACUUUCAUUCACAGCUGCGACUGAACAAUUGUUGGGAAUUGGGCUGCAGACUCCUGACUCCCCGCGGGACUUCCAAGGCAGCAUAACUUCGGGUCCAGACUGGGCUGUCAGGCUUUUCCAGGAAGGAUCCAGGAACCCCUUAACUAAUCCAGGCAGUGACCUGGGAGAACUCGGGAGAACCCGUGGCAGCCCCCAGCAUCCAGAUGUUCACUCUGACCAAAGCCUUAGAAAAGGCUCUUCUCCAGCAUUUCAUAUAAAUGAAGGUGAACAUCGCCUAUGCCAUCAACAAGCCAUUCCCCUUCUUCGAAGCGCUCCGGGACAAAUCCUUCAUCACUGAGAGAAUGUACAAGCUUCUGGUGGCUGGAAGCUCUUGGAGUUCUUAGAUUAAUAGUCUGCACUGCACUCACUGCACUGACCCCAACUCCCUGACUCAGCUCCACUGCACUGCACUCAACUGACUGACUGAACUCAGAGACCUGAAUGACUCUGUCUCCUGAGUGCUAGGAAUAAAGCAAGUACUGCCAAGCCUGGACCUAAGCUUUUCUUUACAAGCAACUUUCUCUGUCCCAAGCUGGCCUUCAACUCAGAGAUCUGCUUGCCUCUGACUCUUGGGAUUAGAGGUGUGUCUGUAUUCCAGCCAGAUCACACAGACCUAGAAGGUCUUUGGAUAUGAUGAUCACUUGCCAAAGCAGCCCUGUUGCUGGAUUAAAAUUCCUCUACAAAGAAAAUUGCAGCAGCCUUUUCCAAGUCUGACACAGCUCCAGCUCCUUCAUCAGUCCACAGCCCACUCACUCACUGAGACUCACGUUUUCCUUCCAACAACCGUGCUUUCCUUUAUGAGACUGUUCUCAGUUGCAACUGGCUAUUUACUGACUGUCUUUUCAGGGAUGGAUGCCCUCCUCCUCCACUGGAGCAGGACC
rnacentral:lncRNA from 1 species